UGCCAUUCAUCCUUUCGGGGUCGAUAAAUUAAUUUUGUAGGCGCAAUGGCCCAGUGGUUAGGGCAGCGAACUCGCGGUCUUAGGAUCGCGGUUUCGAUUCCCAGACUAGGCGUUGUGAGUGUUAUUGAGCGGAGACACACCUAAAGCUCCCUGAAGCUCCGGCAGGGGUUGGUGGUGAACCCUGCUGUAAUCUUUCACCACAACUUUCUCUCACCUUUUUUCCUGUUUCUGUUGUACUUGUAUUUCAAAAGGCCAGCCUUGUCCCACACUGUGUC